CUUCUCCACUCCCCUCUGACUUCUCCAAGGGGGCUCCACCCUCAACUCAACCCAAGCAACAGGGACAGAUGAAAAACAAAAUCCAAUCAGGGCGAUAAAUGGCGGGGGGCAGGACGUGGUGGUCUCCAGGCUGGCUUCGUGCGUUCUUGCUUUUGUCACUGCCCCCCUAAACAAAGAGGGGGAAUAGAUCAAUUGACAUGAAAUUUGGGGGUUCCUAAUUUCUCUAUGUAAUUCUGCAAGUCUGCUGUCAAUCCUCCUGACUUUUCCA
rnacentral:lncRNA from 1 species